rnacentral:rRNA from 1 species
GGACCCGCACAAGUAGUGGAGCAUGUGGUUUAAUUCGAAGAUACGCGCAGAACCUUACCAACACUUGACAUGUUCGUCGCGACUUUAAGAGAUUAAAGUUUUCGGUUCGGCCGGACGAAACACAGGUGCUGCAUGGCUGUCGUCAGCUCGUGUCGUGAGAUGUUGGUUAAGUCCCGCAACGAGCGCAACCCUCACUUUUAGUUGCCAUCAUUUAGUUGGGCACUCUGAAAGAACUGCCAGUGAUAAGCUGGAGGAAGGUGGGGAUGACGUCAAGUCCUCAUGGCCCUUACGUGUUGGGCUACACACGUGCUACAAUGGUAGUGACAAUGGGUUAAUCCCAAAAAGCUAUCUC